UUUUGCUCUGCUGCUCUCUUUGUUUGAUGGAGUCAGACCAACAUGCAUUAAACAUGAGCAUGAUGGUAAUCUAUCCCAAUACUGGAUGGACACCAUCAACGUGUGUUUUCUUGGUGUAUUAAACACUAAUGGUGGGAGAUACUGUACACUUUCACAUGGAUAUAUGUGUACUUGAUGGCAAAGUUGCAAAGAAAAAGCCAUAUCUAGACUGGCCAAUAGAAAGAAAAGAUUAAGAUGGGCAAAAGAACAGACACUGGACAGAGGAACUCUGUCUAGAAGGCCAGCAUCCCGGAGUCGCCUCUUCACUGUUACUAUUUACACGUAAACUGCUACUUUUACCUUCCUGGGGGUACUGCUGUUGGAGGGAACAGACAACCAGACACAUCAAACCAUCUAAAUAUGUUUUACCACUAAUGUUUCAAGAGAUACUGUAGAGGCAGUGUAAACAGUGUUGGCUUAGCCAGAAUGUCCUCUGGUGCUAUGUGGAUCUUGACGUGUCCUGUAUGCACUGCUGUAGACCUACAGUAUAUGGUGUUUCAAUAUUUUGUAGUUUAUGUAUGUAGUCUUCUGUCUUUCUCCUCUCUGUGUUGUGUCGAUUUAUAGCUUUUGUGAAGCUGUUUCCUCUACUAGCCUGUUUAUGUAUUUAUAUUUGUAUUUGCUCUCAGUAGGAUGCCUUGUUAGUAGUGUCCUUGUGACUUGUAGCCCAGCCGUUGUCUCUGAUGAUUUCAUGCUUUGUUAGUGAGCAUAAUUGUCAUCAUCAUCCUCAUCACAAGGGUAGUGGAACUGAUGAUGAUGGUAAUUGUGUAGUCAGCAGGUGAGCGUGUGUGUGCUUUAUCUUCUGUGUGUACCUUGGUUGCCUGGCCUAGAUAAUGUGUGAUUAGGUGUCCAUGUCUUUGAGCUUCAAUCAAUAAUGUUUUUUUAGAUGGAGAACAGAAAGACAGCAGAAAUGUACUUUUAACAUGCUGAACUAAGGUUCACUGGUUUUUCAUGCCUUUAAAUGCAGACUUUUAAUUGAAAGCUAUACUUUAUUGUAUUCACUUCGUAACAUAAUGUAGUAUUGAAUAUUGAAAUCAAAUUAAAUGUUAUUUUUCACAUGCUUCUAACAGUAGACUAACAGUGAAAAGCAUACUUUUCUCUCCCAACAAUGCAG
rnacentral:lncRNA from 1 species